GUGUCAGCAGCCGCGGUAAUACAGAGGGGGCGAGCGUUAUUCGGAAUCAUUGGGCGUAAAGGGCGUGUAGGCGGCUUGACAAGUCGAAGGUGAAAUCCCUCGGCCUAACCGAGGAACUGCCUUCGAAACUGUCUCGCUAGAGGCCGGGAGAGGGUAGUGGAAUUCCCAGUGUAGCGGUGAAAUGCGUAGAUAUUGGGAGGAACACCGGUGGCGAAGGCGGCUACCUGGACCGGUUCUGACGCUAAAGCGCGAAAGCGUGGGGAGCAAACAGGAUUAGAUACCCGUGUAGUCC
rnacentral:rRNA from 1 species